UACGAAGGGGGCUAGCGUUGCUCGGAAUUAUUGGGCGUAAAGAGCUCGUAGGCGGUGUGUCACGUCGGCCGUGAAAACCUGGGGCUUAACUCUGGGCGUGCGGUCGAUACGGGCAUCACUAGAGUUCGGCAGGGGAGACUGGAAUUCCUGGUGUAGCGGUGAAAUGCGCAGAUAUCAGGAGGAACACCGGUGGCGAAGGCGGGUCUCUGGGCCGAUACUGACGCUGAGGAGCGAAAGCAUGGGUAGCGAACAGG
rnacentral:rRNA from 1 species